CGCUGGCGGCGUGCUUAACACAUGCAAGUCGAACGGGAUCCUGCAAGCUUGCUUGCGGGUGAGAGUGGCGAACGGGUGAGUAAUGCGUGACCAACCUGCCCCAUGCUCCGGAAUAGCUCCUGGAAACGGGUGGUAAUGCCGGAUGUGCCGGGCUCCUGCAUGGGGGUCCGGGAAAGCUCUGGCGGCGUGGGAUGGGGUCGCGUCCUAUCAGCUUGUUGGCGGGGUGAGGGCCCACCAAGGCUUCGACGGGUAGCCGGCCUGAGAGGGCGACCGGCCACAUUGGGACUGAGAUACGGCCCAGACUCCUACGGGAGGCAGCAGUGGGGAAUAUUGCACAAUGGGCGCAAGCCUGAUGCAGCGACGCCGCGUGCGGGAUGGAGGCCUUCGGGNUGUAAACCGCUUUUGUUUGGGAGCAAGCCCUUCGGGGUGAGUGUACCUUUCGAAUAAGCACCGGCUAACUACGUGCCAGCAGCCGCGG
rnacentral:rRNA from 1 species